UCCCAUGUGGUCUAGUGGUUAGAAUUCUUUGCUUUCUCCCAGGCAGCUCGGGUUCGAUUUCCGGCAUGGGAA